rnacentral:rRNA from 1 species
GACAGAGGGCCCGAGCGUUAGGCGGAAUCACUGGGCUUAAAGCGUGUGUAGGCGGACUUCUAAGUACCUUGUGAAAUCCCACGGCUUAACCGUGGAACGGCUGGGUAUACUGGUUGUCUUGGGCCACUUAGGGGCUACUGGAACAAACGGUGGAGCGGUGAAAUGCGUAGAUAUCGUUUGGAACGCCAAUGGUGAAAACAAGUAGCUGGGAGUGUGCCGACGCUGAGACACGAAAGCCAGGGGAGCGAACGGG